AAUGAAUGGAAGUGGCCCAAGAAAUGAAACUGAAAACAGGAUUGUCCACUUUAUUGUGAGGAAGCACCCCUGCAAUAAAGUGGAGGACAAUCCUGUUUUUGGUGUGAGAUUUUGUCCUUCAAUGUCACAUAAAAAUCAAGUUUGUUUACCUGUAAUGUUAAAAAAACAGAUUUUGAAAGAAAUUGGUGAAAGUGUCCUAACCAAAACAGAAAUUGCAAAAAAGUUUUUGGAUACUGAAGAAUUUUCUGUCUAUAAUUGUCAAGACCAGAGAGAAAAUCAUUGAUCAUGAUAACUGCAGAACAUCUUUGCAGAAGUAUUUCUGUGAAGCGAAGUAUCCAGAGUUGGAGAAGGCACUGGCUUCUUGGCUCAGGAAAAUAAGGCAACAAAAUGUAAUACUAUUAUAUAAUAAUAUGGCAUUCUAUUCAAAAAACAAGCAGAAAUUUUUGCUUUGAGACUC
rnacentral:lncRNA from 1 species